AGAGGGAAGCAGUUUCGCUAUAAAGAUGUAUGGCAGACUCAUGCAGAUUACGAUAGUGUUGUCUUGAAUAACUGGCAAAAAGGAGCUAGUCUGCAGGGUCUGACGGGAGUAAUCAGCGCGCUUAACAACAUGCAGAGCUCACUAUCCACAUGGGGCGCGCGUGAAUUUGGCAGCUUGACGGCAAAGGUGAGGAAACUCCGACAGAGCUUGAACAAGCUUAGAAGUCGUGCGGGCAGACGUGGGCCAACUGAUGAAGAGAGAUCCAUCGUCAAGCAGCUACAUGAGGCACUUCAUCAGGAGGAAAUAUGGAUGCGCCAGAGGUCCAGAGUACCUUACUUGCGCGAGGGAGACAGGAACACAAAUUUUUUUCACGCACAGGCUGCUCAACGCAGAAGGAUGAACAAAAUUGAGGGACUUGUGCGAGCUGAUGGGUCGGUAUGCCAAUCCUGGGAAGAUGACCAUGAGGAGGUGCAACAGUUCUAUACAACGUUGUACACGUCUCAAGGAGUCCGACCCCUGGAUGGACUAUUGGAUCUAGUUCCACCUAGGGUGACAGCACCUAUGAACGCACACCUAGAUAAGCCUUUUACGGCAGAAGAGGUGAGGGUG
rnacentral:rRNA from 1 species